UGGGGAAUCUUGGACAAUGGGGGCAACCCUGAUCCAGCCAUGCCGCGUGAGUGAUGAAGGCCUUAGGGUCGUAAAGCUCUUUCGCCUGUGAAGAUAAUGACGGUAGCAGGUAAAGAAACCCCGGCUAACUCCGUGCCAGCAGCCGCGGUAAUACGGAGGGGGUUAGCGUUGUUCGGAAUUACUGGGCGUAAAGCGCACGUAGGCGGACCAGAAAGUUGGGGGUGAAAUCCCGGGGGCUCAACCCCGGAACUGCCUCCAAAACUAUUGGUCUAGAGUUCGAGAGAGGUGAGUGGAAUUCCAAGUGUAGAGGUGAAAUUCGUAGAUAUUUGGAGGAACACCAGUGGCGAAGGCGGCUCACUGGCUCGAUACUGACGCUGAGGUGCGAAAGUGUGGGGAGCAAACAGGAUUAGAUACCCUGGUAGUCCACACCGUAAAACGAUGAAUGCCAGUCGUCGGGUAGCAUGCUAUUCGGUGACACACCUAACGGAUUAAGCAUUCCGCCUGGGGAGUACGGUCGCAAGAUU
rnacentral:rRNA from 1 species